CCCCAUGUUAAAAGACAUCUUUUUCCCUGCAGAAAAGACUUAUUCGUGCUUUUCUGCCGGGUGUUCGGUAGAUUUGUUUGAGUGUGUUGUACCCCAGAUAAGAAUCCCAUGGAGCCCAUUCGCAUGAAACUGACUGUGUAAAGACUUUGGCUUCAUGGCGUUUAAACUGUAUUCGUGUGGUCUGAGCGCCAUUCGCUUAAUAAUGUGCGCUCAGACCUGAGCUAUCUGGGGAUAUGUAGAACGUAUAUGUUUUAUGUAUUGAAUGUAACUGUAGGUAAUUUUAUGUCUUUUACUGUUUGUUUUCUGCCAUGUGGUUAAUGGAGUUUUGC